rnacentral:rRNA from 1 species
AUGAAAGGUAAAAAAAGCCAAAAAAGGAUUAAAAACGAAAACAGGAGCACAAUACUUGCAUUUCUGAUGAAGACAAUGUUAUUCUGUUUGACUGGCUUCUGUAAUAAUUCUGUGUUCCUGUAUUUCCUCAGUUUAUUUGUACACACGAUGCUCCUAGAAUUCCAAAUAACUUGCAACCUUGAUUGGAAAAUGAUCAUAUGUACAGGCUAUAGUUUCCAAUUAUCAAGGAGUGCGCGAAGCGUGGGCAUACAAGGUUGCCAUGACCCAUGCCAAGAUGGGACAGAUGGCAUAAUUCCCGAGGAAAGAGUUGUCGGCAUCUCAAUUCAAGAACCCAGGGAAGAAUCUAGACGUAGAUGUGCUGAGAGUGAGAAGGCCAGUCUUCAUCGAGACAAUCUUCCUAUUCUGAAUUAUAUGAAUAACAAAAAUCAAUCCUCACUUGUAUUAACUUCAUUGGUGAAGGUAUAA